CACCGGCAGCUCGAGUGGUAGCCGCGUUUAUUGGGCCUAAAGCGUCCGUAGCCGGUCCGAUAAGUCUCUGGUGAAAGCCCACAGCUCAACUGUGGGAAUCGCUGGAGAUACUAUCGGACUUGAGGCCGGGAGAGGCUGGAGGUACUCCCAGGGUAGGGGUGAAAUCCUAUAAUCCUGGGAGGACCACCUGUGGCGAAGGCGUCCAGCUGGAACGGACCUGACGGUGAGGGACGAAAGCCAGGGGCGCGAACCGGAUUAGAUACCCUAGUAGUCC
rnacentral:rRNA from 1 species